UCGAAACCUGCCCAGCAGAACGACCCGCGAACAUGUUCCCGGCUAACGGGCGUSNNNNNNUUGGGGCGCCUUGUGKGCCUUCAUGCCCCUCGUCCAUGCAGGGGGAUGCUCACUCGUGAUGCAUNCUCCUGCUGCCAAAACGAACCCCGGCGCGAAAAGCGUCAAGGAAUACAACAAAAGUGUGUGCCUCUGUCCCGCCCGGUCAGCCGGCGUGGGGGAGGUGCCAUGUCUUAAUAACAAUA
rnacentral:rRNA from 1 species